UGAGGAGUGGCUUCCGGAGCUAACGCGUUAAGUCGACCGCCUGGGGAGUACGGCCGCAAGGUUAAAACUCAAAUGAAUUGACGGGGGCCCGCACAAGCGGUGGAGCAUGUGGUUUAAUUCGAUGCAACGCGAAGAACCUUACCUACUCUUGACAUCCACGGAAUUUGGCAGAGAUGCCUUAGUGCCUUCGGGAACCGUGAGACAGGUGCUGCAUGGCUGUCGUCAGCUCGUGUUGUGAAAUGUUGGGUUAAGUCCCGCAACGAGCGCAACCCUUAUCCUUUGUUGCCAGCGAUUCGGUCGGGAACUCAAAGGAGACUGCCGGUGAUAAACCGGAGGAAGGUGGGGAUGACGUCAAGUCAUCAUGGCCCUUACGAGUAGGGCUACACACGUGCUACAAUGGCGCAUACAAAGAGAAGCGACCUCGCGAGAGCAAGCGGACCUCACAAAGUGCGUCGUAGUCCGGAUCGGAGUCUGCAACUCGACUCCGUGAAGUCGGAAUCGCUAGUAAUCGUGGAUCAGAAUGCCACGGUGAAUACGUUCCCGGGCCUUGUACACACCGCCCGUCACACCAUGGGAG
rnacentral:rRNA from 1 species